rnacentral:lncRNA from 1 species
CCACCCUCACACCGCCGCCCACCACGCCGUCGUCGUCGUCCUCCUCCCUUCGCCCACCAUCCACAGCCCCCUCGGAUCUCGCCGCCCCUUCCGCCUCCCCCUCCGCUCCUCUCGCCGCUCUUCCGUCCCCCCCUCUUCGGCAAUCUCGCCGGCGUCCCAACUCCGGCGGGAGCGGUGGCGGCAGCAAGGAGGCGCGGCGGCAACGACCUGCGGCGGUGGAUUCGGCGGCGCCGUCCUAGGGAAGGCCGGAUCCGCCGCCCUAGGAAGGAGCUCGGCUCUCGGCGGCGGGCGGCGGGCACGGUGACAGCCUGCUCCGGCGGAUCUGGCGGCGCCGUCACAGAGGCGGAGGACAGCGGCGCGCCAGAGACGGAGGCCCCGUCGGGCAGGCCGGCAGCGAGGCGGUGGCGGAGCCGCGGAGGCGGGCCGGCGUGGAUGGGGUCGGUGGAGGUGGCGGCGACCUGGUACGGCGGCGGGAGGGAGUCAAUGCGAGGGGGUUCAGGCGAGGCUGGCGGCGUGGCUCGCACCGUGGCGGCUCCUCUCCUCCGGCGGCAAGGUGCUCGGCGAGGAGGAAAAGGCUGCCGAGAACAUCUACAUCAAGGUGGAGAUAACAUACAGAGGGAGACAGCUCCUCCCAAUCCUGACAUUGCAGCAUUGCUGCUAAGCUCACUUGGAAGAUCUUGGUCAUGCGACAUCUGGUGAAAUUUUGGUUACUGUGAUUGUAUCUGGAAUGUGACUAGAUUUGGCUGUUAACUGUGUUGUAAAUUUUGUGUUGUAUUGGAUGUUUGUCGAGAUGUGUUGGUUUGAAUCUGAGAUUGUAUGAUAGAUUGGAUUGAAUUUGGUGGGCUCAAAUUUAGUGGGUCUGUUUAGUGGGCUUUGAUCUGAUAGUUGGUUGACAAAAUAGG